GGCCCCGUAGCUCAGCCAGGAAGAGCGCGGGCCUCCGGAGCCCGUGGUCCCGGGUUCAAGUCCCGGCGGGGCCGCCA
rnacentral:tRNA from 1 species